UGGGGAAUUUUGGACAAUGGGGGCAACCCUGAUCCAGCCAUUCCGCGUGAGUGAAGAAGGCCUUCGGGUUGUAAAGCUCUUUCAGCUGGAACGAAACGGUACGCUCUAACAUAGCGUGCUAAUGACGGUACCAGCAGAAGAAGCACCGGCUAACUACGUGCCAGCAGCCGCGGUAAUACGUAGGGUGCGAGCGUUAAUCGGAAUUACUGGGCGUAAAGCGUGCGCAGGCGGAUUGUUAAGCAAGACGUGAAAUCCCCGGGCUUAACCUGGGAAUGGCGUUUUGAACUGGCAGUCUAGAGUGUGUCAGAGGGGGGUAGAAUUCCACGUGUAGCAGUGAAAUGCGUAGAGAUGUGGAGGAAUACCAAUGGCGAAGGCAGCCCCCUGGGAUAACACUGACGCUCAUGUACGAAAGCGUGGGUAGCAAACUGGAUUAGAUAC
rnacentral:rRNA from 1 species